rnacentral:rRNA from 1 species
UCUACGUGUGGCAGCAGUGAGGAAUAUUGGUCAAUGGGCGCGAGCCUGAACCAGCCAAGUCGCGUGAGGGAAGACGGUCCUAUGGAUUGUAAACCUCUUUUGUCGGGGAGCAAAAGACGCCACGUGUGGCGUUCCGAGAGUACCCGAAGAAAAAGCAUCGGCGCACUCCGUGCCAGCAGCCGCGGUAAUACGGAGGAUGCGAGCGGUAUACGGAUUUAUUGGGUUUAAAGGGUGCGCAGGCGGACGAUCAAGUCAGCGGUAAAAUUGAGAGGCUCAACCACUUCGAGCCGUUGAUACUGGUUUUCUUGAGUGAGCGAGAAGUAUGCGGAAUGCGUGGUGUAGCGGUGAAAUGCAUAGAUAUCACGCAGAACUCCGAUUGCGAAGGCAGCAUACCGGCGCUCAACUGACGCUCAUGCACGAAAGUGUGGGUAUCGAACAGGAUUAGAUACCCUGGUAGUC